CCUACGGGUGGCAGCAGUGGGGAAUAUUGGGCAAUGGAGGAAACUCUGACCCAGCAAUGCCGCGUGAAUGAAGAAGGUCUUCGGAUUGUAAAGCUCUUUCAUCAGGGAAGAAUAAAAUGAUGGUACUUGAAGAAUAAGCGCCGGCAAACACGGGCCCAGCAGCGGGGGUAAUAGGGGGGAUGCAGGGGUUAUCCGGAUUUAUGGGGGUAAAGGGGGGGGCAGGGGGUCUUCUAAGUCAGUGGGAAAGCCGUGGGGUUCAACCCCAUACAGCCGUUGAAACUGGGGGUCUAGAGUGUGGGAGAGGCAGGCGGAAUGCGUGGUGUAGCGGUGAAAUGCGUAGAUAUCACGCGGAACCCCAGUGGCGAAGGCAGCCUGCCGGUGGACAACUGACGCUGAGGCACGAAAGCGUGGGGAGCAAACAGGAUUAGAUACCCUGGUAGUC
rnacentral:rRNA from 1 species